UUUUUUUUUCCAUCUUUUGGUCAAAAUUGAGUGCAGUAACUGUUCUUACCAGUUUAAUGUAUGGUGCGUUCUCUAUCCGAAGGCAAUCCAUUGAGCCUACUUUUGGGGCAGGGAAAUAAAACAAUAAUUUACGUUGUUCACUCCACGCCUUGCCCUGCUAUUGCAGCACUUCUGGGAACGAUGCACCCCCU